GAUGAACGCUGGCGGCGUGCUUAACACAUGCAAGUCGAGCGGGCAAUUUAUCUAGCACUGAUUACUUCAAAUGGAAAUCAUAAGUGUAAUCAUGAAUUUCUACCUUUAAUAAAGAAAAAAGAAAUUCAUGUACGCAAAUAGUGAUAACACAUGAAAGUGGAGUGAUGAGUGCUGGAUAAAUUGCUAGCGGCGGACGGGUGAGUAACACGUGGGUAACCUGCCUCAAAGUGGGGGAUAGCCUUCCGAAAGGAAGAUUAAUACCGCAUAAGCCUACAGUACCGCAUGGUACAGCAGGAAAAGGAGCAAUCCGCUUUGAGAUGGACCCGCGGCGCAUUAGCUAGUUGGUGAGGUAACGGCUCACCAAGGCCACGAUGCGUAGCCGACCUGAGAGGGUGAUCGGCCACAUUGGAACUGAGACACGGUCCAGACUCCUACGGGAGGCAGCAGUGGGGAAU
rnacentral:rRNA from 1 species